AUUGAACGCUGGCGGCAGGCCUAACACAUGCAAGUCGAACGAGUGGCGGACGGGUGAGCAAUGUCUGGGAAACUGCCCGAUGGAGGGGGAUAACUACUGGAAACAGUAGCUAAUACCGCAUACCAUCGGAUGUGCCCAGAUGGGAUUAGCUAGUAGGUGUGGUAACGGCUCACCUAGGCGACGAUCCCUAGCUGGUCUGAGAGGAUGACCAGCCACACUGGAAAUGAGACACGGUCCAGCCACCUACGGGAGGCAGAAGUGGGUAAUAUUUCACAAGGGGCGCAAGCCGGAAGCAGCCAGGCCGCGUGUAUGAAGAAGGCCUUCGGGUUGUAAAGUACUUUCAGCGAAGAGGCGUUACUCGCAGAAGAAGCACCGGCUAACUCCGUGCCAGCAGCCGCGGUAAUUC
rnacentral:rRNA from 1 species